rnacentral:piRNA from 1 species
UGCAGCAGUUGGCUCUGGUGUAGU